AUUGAUUUUAUGCUUGCAUAAAUGAUUUUUGGAUUCGGAGCGAGUGGCGAACUGGUGAGUAACACGUGGGUAACCUGCCCCGAAGCGGGGGAUAACAUUUGGAAACAAGUGCUAAUACCGCAUAAUUAGUUGGAACCGCAUGGUUCCAACUUGAAAGAUGGCUCUGCUAUCACUAUGGGAUGGACCCGCGCCGUAUUAGUUAGUUGGUGAGAUAAAAGCCCACCAAGACGAUGAUACGUAGCCGACCUGAGAGGGUAAUCGGCCACAUUGGGACUGAGACACGGCCCAGACUCCUACGGGAGGCAGCAGUAGGGAAUCUUCCACAAUGGACGAAAGUCUGAUGGAGCAACGCCGCGUGAGUGAUGAAGGUUUUCGGAUCGUAAAACUCUGUUGUUAAAGAAGAACAAGUGUUAGAGUAACUGUUAACACUUUGACGGUAUUUAACCAGAAAGCCACGGCUAACUACGUGCCAGCAGCCGCGGUAAUACGUAGGUGGCAAGCGUUGUCCGGAUUUAUUGGGCGUAAAGCGAGCGCAGGCGGUUUUGUAAGUCUGCUGUGAAAGCCCUCAGCUCAACUGAGGAAGUGCAGUGGAAACUACAAAACUUGAGUACAGAAGAGGAAAGUGGAACUCCAUGUGUAGCGGUGAAAUGCGUAGAUAUAUGGAAGAACACCAGUGGCGAAGGCGGCUUUCUGGUCUGUUACUGACGCUGAGGCUCGAAAGCAUGGGUAGCGAACAGGAUUAGAUACCCUGGUAGUCCAUGCCGUAAACGAUGAAUACUAGGUGUUGGAGGGUUUCCGCCCUUCAGUGCCGCAGCUAACGCAUUAAGUAUUCCGCCUGGGGAGUACGACCGCAAGGUUGAAACUCAAAGGAAUUGACGGGGGCCCGCACAAGUGGUGGAGCAUGUGGUUUAAUUCGAUGCUACGCGAAGAACCUUACCAGCUCUUGACAUCUUCUGCCAACCCAAGAGAUUGGGCGUUCCCUUCGGGGACAGAAUGACAGGUGGUGCAUGGUUGUCGUCAGCUCGUGUCGUGAGAUGUUGGGUUAAGUCCCGCAACGAGCGCAACCCUUAUUAUUAGUUGCCAGCAUUUAGUUGGGCACUCUAGUGAGACUGCCGGUGAUAAA
rnacentral:rRNA from 1 species